rnacentral:rRNA from 1 species
AGCGAACGCUGGCGGCAGGCCUAAUACAUGCAAGUCGAACGGUCUCUUCGGAGGCAGUGGCGGACGGGUGAGUAACGCGUGGGAACGUGCCCUUUGGUACGGAACAACUGAGGGGAAACUUCAGCUAAUACCGUAUGUGCCCUUCGGGGGAAGAUUUAUCGCCAUUGGAGCGGCCCGCGUUGGAUUAGCUAGUUGGUGGGGUAAUGGCCCACCAAGGCGACGAUCCAUAGCUGGUCUGAGAGGAUGAUCAGCCACACUGGGACUGAGACACGGCCCAGACUCCUACGGGAGGCAGCAGUAGGGAAUCUUGCGCAAUGGGCGAAAGCCUGACGCAGCCAUGCCGCGUGAAUGAUGAAGGUCUUAGGAUUGUAAAAUUCUUUCACCGGGGACGAUAAUGACGGUACCCGGAGAAGAAGCCCCGGCUAACUUCGUG